UACAGAGGUCUCAAGCGUUGUUCGGAUUCAUUGGGCGUAAAGGGUGCGUAGGCGGCGCGGUAAGUCGGGUGUGAAAUUUCGAGGCUUAACUUCGAAACUGCAUUCGAUACUGCCGUGCUUGAGGACUGGAGAGGAGACUGGAAUUUACGGUGUAGCGGUGAAAUGCGUAGAGAUGUGGAGGAACACCAGUGGCGAAGGCGACUCUCUGGUCUGUAACUGACGCUGAGGCGCGAAAGCGUGGGGAGCAAACAGG
rnacentral:rRNA from 1 species